rnacentral:lncRNA from 1 species
GACCACUUUCCCAAGAAUGACAUCUCUUUUGCUCUCUUUCUUAGAUGAAAAUGAUCCCAAGGCAAAGGUUGGCAUACAUGUCAAGAGAAUGUUCUCCAGCUGGGGCCUGCAGUACAGAGAAUUGUAUAUACCAGAGGGCUCCUGGGACCCUAGGCAGAUUAUUAUGGUAAUAUUGGAGGCUGCUGUCCUCUCCCUCCCACAGCUGGGCCGCCUCUCUCAUUAAAAUCUACAACUCCCUCUUUUGGAUUCAGCUUCCAUUAUUCCAGUGAGUCUUAACCCAACUUCUUCAACCAAACAUGAAAUCCUCC